GUAGGAGCUUAGGCUCCC
rnacentral:snRNA from 1 species